UACGUAGGGUGCAAGCGUUGUCCGGAAUUAUUGGGCGUAAAGAGCUCGUAGGCGGUUUGUCGCGUCUGCUGUGAAAACUGGAGGCUCAACCUCCAGCCUGCAGUGGGUACGGGGCAGACUAGAGUGCGGUAGGGGAGAUUGGAAUUCCUGGUGUAGCGGUGGAAUGCGCAGAUAUCAGGAGGAACACCGAUGGCGAAGGCAGAUCUCUGGGCCGUAACUGACGCUGAGGAGCGAAAGCGUGGGGAGCGAACAGG
rnacentral:rRNA from 1 species